GAGCGUUGGCCUCUUGUGGCCAAAGAGCGCAGAGCGGGCAGCGUCGGCUUCGGUAGCAACAGUCGGCGUCGCUCACUUGGAGGGGGGGGGCGCUUUGCCCGCUUGUUUUCGAGGCGAGCUCCGGGAGGGGAAGAGGAGCCCCCCCGAGCGAGAGAAACGGCGGGGGGGGCGCUUCGCUCGGGCUCCCCUUCCCCUCGCGGGACCCGGGAAAGGGUCCCGCGGGGAGCACCGCUCCCAGAACGGGAGGAGGAAAGGCGCCGCUGUGAGGGGGAGACGGGGACGGAGAGCACGAGACGCGCGCCCCCCCCCCCAUCCUCGCUCGUUUAUCCGUUGCCCCAGGGGGGGAGGUUUAAAAAGGAAACGGCAGCAGGAAUCUCUGAGGAGCCCGCAGGGGGUGGCUUGUGGUUAGCUCAGGAGAUCCUUCCCCGACCGCCCCAUCCUUUCCUCCCUCACCUGAACUGAAGGGCAAGGAGCGGGGAGUCUGUGGGUCCCUCACCCGCCUCCCCUUCCCACGAAAGGAAAAUGGUGCAGAAGGAGACAGAGUGGCAAAUAAGGCCGGGAGGGGGACGAGGGGAGACGCUGUGAGUGAGAGGAGGUAGCAGCGGGAACUGGAGGGGGGGAGGUGAAGAGAUAGUUUGACCUGCCCCCCCCUCGCCUUUCCCCCCUCACCCCCCCCCCGCCGUCCUCUCUGCCACCAGCAUUAGCUGCUUUCCAUCUCUAUCCUUGUCUUUUUCCUCCGCCUGCAACCUCAACAAUCCCCCCCUCCUCCCCCACCCCUAUUUUCGUGUCACCCUCGCCCUUCUCCUCCCGGCGCUUGGCAGAGCGGUUGGCAGGGUUUCUUUGCUGUGGAAGAUGGCGACACCAGGGAUGAGCUGGCAGCAGCACUACUACAGCGGCAGCUCCUCGGGGAGCGCUGGAAAAUUCACCACCUCCACUUCGUCGGCCGCCUCCUCCCAGCUCAGCAUGGAAUAUAAUCAGGAUCUCCAUCUCAAAAUGAGCAAGAAAAUAGCGCAGCUCACCAAGGUAAUAUAUGCUUUGAACACAAAGAAUGAUGAACAUGAGGCUGCUAUUCAAGCCCUCAAAGAUGCUCAUGAAGAAGAAAUCCAACAAAUUAUUGCAGAAACCAGAGAAAAGAUUCUGCAGUAUAAGAGUAAAGUUUCUGAGGAAAUGGAUCUCAAAAGAAAAAUCCAGGUUUUAGAAGAGUCAUUGGAAGAUCAUAAAAAGAUGAAGCAUCAAGCUUUAACUGAGUUUGAAGCAUAUAAAGACAGAGUUGAGGAUAUGCAACUUUGUGCAGAAGCUCAGCAUGUUCAGCGUGUAGUAACUAUGUCACGGGAAGUAGAAGAAAUUAGAAAGAAGUUUGAGGAGAGGUUGCGGAGUUUUAUACAAUUACAAGUGCAGUUGGAAAAGGAUAAACGUUCAGCUCUUGAAGAACUAAGAGCUGCACAUAGACUUGAGGUCCAGGAACUUGUAAAGACCCAUCAGAACCAGAAUGCUACUUUAAAUAAGGGACAGGAAAAGUUAGAAGAAUUACACAGGCGGGAUGUGGAAGAACUGAAUGCCAAAGUUGAAGAGCUAAGAGUGGAAAGAAAAAAGCUAAUUGAGGACUAUGAAGGUAAACUCAGCAAAGCUCAAUCUUUCUAUGAGCAUGAACUUGAUACUAUGAAAAGGUCGCAGCUAUUUACAGCUGAAAGCCUGAAGACCUGCAAAGAGAAGGAAAUAGAACUAAGAAAGGAGUUUCAAAGCCAAGAAUCUGUUUUACGAAAAAACCUGGGAAAACUUAAGACUGAAUUGCAGAUGGUACAGGAUGAAGCAGGUGGUCUACGAGAAAAAUGUCAGAAACUUCAAGUAGCACUCAACACAGCAGAAAACAAUGUGCAGGCUCUUCAAAAACAGUUGGAUGAUGUCAAAGAUGAGGAAAUGUCAUUGUUAAGCAAACACAAAGAGGUUGAAAGUGAACUAGCAGCUGCUCGAGAACGUUUACAGCAACAGGCCACAGAUCUAGUACUAAAAGCCAGUCAUAUUGGAAUGCUUCAAGCAACACAAAUGACCCAGGAAGUUACAAUAAGGGAUUUGGAAUCAGAAAAAUCUAGAUUAAAGGAGAAACUGUCCCAGCUAGAAGAUGAAAGAAAUCUAUUACAAAGCAAAACACAGAGCCUGGAUGAAAGACAAAGGCAACAAAUUCUUGCACUGGAGAAGAAAGUGAAUGAAGCAAGGGAAACACAACGAGAAUAUUAUGAGAAGGAGCUGAUAAAACUGCAAGCCAGGCUGGAAGGGGAGGCUGCACAAUUAAAUGAGGCUCAUUCUAAGACCUUGGAGGAGUUGGCAUGGAAACAUCAUACUGCUCUUGAGGCAGCACAUAGCACUGCUAACAAGGAGAAAAAGAAACUGCAAAUGGAGUUGGAGCAGCACUUUGAAAAAGAGAAGAUACAUUUUGAAGACGAGAAGAAUCAGCUUCGACAGCAGUUGGAAAACCUGAGGGAAGAACUGACAACCAAGUUGACUUCAUCCAAUCAGGAGAUGGGUCGAUUACAAGAUCUAGUAAGAAAAAGUGAACAGGGCCUUGGUACUGCAGAAGGGCACAUCUCCAAUCUCCAGGAAACCCAGGAAAUACUACAAAAAGAACUGGAGUUAACCAGGGCAAGACUGAGGGAGACCACUGAUUCUCUGUAUAAUGUUCAGGGGGAACUAGACCAGGAAAGACAGCAGCAUGAAGUAAUGAUUGUAGCUAUGAGGGAAGAGGAAAAAUUCAAAGUUGACAGAAUGGCCCGUGAUCUAGAAAUAAAAUGGACAGAGAAUCUUCGGCAGGAAUGUACCAAACUUCGAGAAGAGUUAAGGCUUCAGCAUGAGGAGGAUAAAAAGUCAGCAAUGACUCAACUUCUGCAGCUAAAAGAGAGAGAGAAAAAUGCUGCCAGAGAUAGCUGGCAGAAGAAAGUUGAAGAUCUUUUGGAUCAGCGGCACUGUCUCGGUGAAGCUUUGCAUAAAUCUAUCAGCAAUAUCUCCCUGUUGAAGCAGAAUCUAGAAAUGCAGCUUUCCCAGUCUCAGACUUCAAUGCAGCAACUUCAGGCACAAUUUAGCCAGGAGCGACAGAGGCUGGCCCAAGAGAUUGAAGAGCUAGAAGAAGAGCAUCAACAAAGACACAAGUCCUUGAAAGAAGCACAUAUCCUUGCAUUUCAGAACAUGGAGGAAACAAAAGAAGAAGAGCAAAAGGAACUUGAGGAACGUUUAAAACAGAAGCACUUAGAAGAACUUCAUGCGCUGAAAGAAGCACACAGGCAAGCUAUGGAUGCUUUCAAACUAGAAAUGGAACAGGAACUGCAGACUCUUCGCUUUGAACUAGAAGAUGAAGGGAAAGCUAUGCUUGCAUCUUUGCGCUCAGAACUAAACCAUCAGCAUGCUGCAGCAAUUGAUCAACUAAGACAUAAUCAUCAACAAGAACUAGCAGCUGCUAAAAUGGAACUUGAAAGAAGCAUAGAGCUUAGCAGGCACCAGGAAAAGGAGUUUGUUUGCCGGAUAUCAGAUCUACAGGAUGAAUUGAGGCAUCGAGACCACCAUAUAUCUGAACUGGAUAAGGAGAUUCUUGCUCUGCAUGAAAACAUAAGUGCACUAACCAAGGAACUGGAAUUUAAAGGGAAGGAGGUUCUCAGAAUACGUAGUGAAUCCAACCAACAAAUUAGGCUGCAUGAACAAGAUUUAAACAAGAAACAUGAGAAAGAGCUGGAUGUCAUGACAGCAGACCACAUCAGAGAAAGACAAAGCAUGCUGGCAGAUUUUAAUAAGACCCAAGAGCUGCUCAAGGAAAUUAAUUCAGCUUUGCAAAUUUCUUUAGAAGAAAUGGAAGAAAAAUAUCAAAACAGGGAAUCAAGACCAGAAGAUGUACAGCUUAUUGCAGAGUUGAAAGACCUGAUUGCUGAGAGGGAUCAGCUAAUAAAGAAACUGAUUGAUGACAAGAAAUUCUAUCAACUGGAACUAGUCAAUAGGGAGACUAACUUCAACAAGGUGUUUAAUGCAAGUCCUAAUGUUGGUGUUAUUAACCCUCUGGUGAAGCAAAAGAAGAAGAAUGAUAAAUCAGCAAACAGGUUUGUGAGUGUCCCCAAUCUAAGUGCUCUGGAAUCUAGUGGAGUGGGCAAUGGACAUGCUAACCGCCUGGAUCCUAUUCCAAAUUCACCCAUCCAUGAUAUUGAGUUCAACAGCAGCAGACCACUUCCACAUCCUAUACCACCCAAAGAGCCCAAGACGGUUUUGAGGCGUCACUAACAUGCAUGUGCAUGAAUUCAUGGAUUGCGAUGCUGGAGUUUCCAUUGCAAAUUAUUUCGUGCCUUGUAUUACCCCCCAAAAACGCCCUCCUCAGACUGAAGCUUCUCCAAUGGCUUCACCCGAUCCACAACGUCAGGAAUGGUUUGCCCGUUACUUCACAUUCUGAGAGAUUAUUUUUGUGUGUGGCACAGUGUGGUGUGGACUGUUCAUAAGAGCAUGACCUUAAAAUAAACCCUUAUGUGAACAAGCUUACCUGUAAUAUGUCAAACACUGUGAAUGAGAAAGUAUUUUGUCUCUGAUUUGAAAAUGCACUGUAUUUUAUGUGAUAUUUGUUGGAAUCACUUGACAUGGUAAUAUAAAUGUGCUUAAUGACACUUUUAUUUUUAUUUAAAAUGGAAGAGUAUUUAAACUUUGUAAUUACUGCAUAACAAAUUUUCGUAGAAGAAACUUAAAGCUUCCUACCCAUUUUCCUAUAAAUAUGUAUUUUCUUUGGUUUCAGGAAAAGCUUUCCCCCUCCUGUCUCCCAUCCCAAAUGCAAUCAGUUGCAUGGUUAUUGUAUAUCAAAAUAAACUGUCAACAGUUUAAAAAUCAGAUUGCGGGAAGAUAUGUUUAAAUCCUUCUGUUUUUAUUUAGUUAUCUUGUAGAACUUGACUUUUAAAAUUGUGUUUACUCUAAAAGUGGUGAAGAAUGCAAAAUAAAUAGCAGUAGUAUAGCUGAUGGCCUUUAGAGUGAUUUUAAGAACAUGACAUCCUUAUUUCUUAUCUACAACUGAUCUGCCCUUUAGUAAUUAUAAUUACUAUAUUUUAAUGUUGGAUUUCAUCAAACUUUUGUCAAAUAUUUUAUAAAUAUCUACAAAGACAGUGCUCUUUAGAACAUGUGGGGUACUACACUAUGUAAUGCUGUAUUAAUGAAUAAUCAUUUAUGGAAAUCUGCAUUUUGAGGACAUUAUAAUUUGGGAGCAAAACUCAGGCUUUACAAAAAAAAAUAGUGCUAAAUCAAUUAUGCAUAAUAAAGCAUGCAAAUCUUUCAUUAGAGCUCCAGCAUACUUAACUUACAAAGAAAGAUGUUCCAUCUUACAUUAUAAAAUUAAGCCAGGGACCACAUGACCUUUUUCAUAUGGCAAAUGAGCCUGAUUUUCCACUCUAUUCCACUUGUCUUACAGAUGUGCAAUCUCUCUGGCAGAAAAUAUGUAAUACCAUGGCAAAUCUGGUUUAUAUACUUUUGUUGAUGAUGUUGUCAAUUCCAAGAUUACCACAAUGCAGCUGACACUGGUAAUCUCAGGGAGAAUUUUUUUCUUUUAUGAAUGUACUUUCAGACCUGAUAUUUGUAUCUUUAAAAAAAAGAGGGGGGAUUGCUUGGUUAUUUUAAAUAAGAUUUUUAUCCUUCGAUACAGAAUUAUAGCUCUUCAUUAUUUCUGCUGAAGCCCUGACCAUGUCUUCCCAUUAUGCAAAAACAUAAUCAAAGGUACCAUUAAUAGUUACAAUAAGUUUUAUAUGUAGCAUAUGUAUAAAAGAAUAAUUUGUAUGUUUUCAUAUAAAAUAUAAAAUAUUCUAAAUCAGAAUUUUAAAAAUGUAUCUCUUGCAAACUCAGCCUGAAAGCUUCACUGGAAGCAGUGUUCUAAUGUUUUGCUGCUAAUCUAAAGCAGUGUUUGGCAGAUACUCUAUGGUUGAUGGUUUUAACUGUAGGUAUAUGCAGCCUUUACAUUAGAAGAAAGCCAUAUCGAGUCAAAGUCAGAUUUCUUGGCUAUUGUGUGAAAUAAAACACACUGGAUGAUUUUGCUAUGA